UACGUAGGGUGCAAGCGUUGUCCGGAAUUAUUGGGCGUAAAGAGCUCGUAGGCGGUUUGUCGCGUCGAAUGUGAAAAACCCGGGGCUCAACCCCCGGGCCUGCAUUCGAUACGGGCAGACUAGAGUUCGGUAGGGGGAGUCUGGAAUUCCUGGUGUAGCGGUGAAAUGCGCAGAUAUCAGGAGGAACACCAGUGGCGAAGGCGACUCACUGGCCCGAUACUGACGCUGAUGCGCGAAAGCGUGGGGAGCAAACAGG
rnacentral:rRNA from 1 species